rnacentral:rRNA from 1 species
GACAGAGGUGCCGAGCGUUAGGCGGAAUUACUGGGCGUAAAGCGCACGUAGGCGGUCUUUUAAGUCGGGGGUGAAAUCCUGGAGCUCAACUCCAGAACUGCCUUCGAUACUGGAAGACUUGAGUCCGGGAGAGGUGAGUGGAACUGCGAGUGUAGAGGUGAAAUUCGUAGAUAUUCGCAAGAACACCAGUGGCGAAGGCGGCUCACUGGCCCGGUACUGACGCUGAGGUGCGAAAGCGUGGGGAGCAAACAGG